GCUUUAGGCUGACAGAAGGUACAUUUAGAUUAGAUAUUAAGAAAAAAAUCCUUACCAUGAAGCUGGCAAGACGCUGACACAGGUUGCCCAGAGAAGCUGUGGCUGCCCUAUCCCUGGCAGUGUUCAAGGCCAGGUUGGAUGGGGCUUGGAGAAACCUGGGCUAGAGGAAGGUGUCCCUGCCUGUGGCAGGGGUGUUGGAAGUGGAUGAGCUUUAAGGUCCUUUCCAACCCAAACCAUUCUGUGAUUCUAUGUAUAUAUCUACACCUCCUGUUACCACAUACAGAUUUAUCAGACAAAUUCAUGAACAAAGGGAGCAAAUUACUCAAAGCAUUAGUUAGCUUUCUGUAGACCCCUUUCUUCCACCUGAGAAGAUGCAGUGUUGUAGGGAUUCCAAAAUGAAUUCAGCUCUAACAGAGGCUGUGUGGAAGCAGCUUUUUGCUGUGCACAGAUACGAGGUUAAAUGAAGAAGCUGGGUGUCGUGAUGUGAAGGAGGGAGGCAGACACUGAACUAAUUUUUUCUAAUCAAAACAGAAUCUGUCUGUGAGAUGCAGGAGGAGGGUUCCAUAUCAAGUAAACAAAUAAUUGGUUUAUUUGUCUGUUCUUUGUGCUCUUUGCUUACUUAGGGUGGUUUUGGGUUUUGGUGGUUUUUUUCUUUUAUUUUUUUGUGCUGAUGAAGAAAAGGGAGACUGUGAUACCAUUCUAAAGGAAAGUACUGAAGAUAACCUGCUGAGGAGGCUGUCCAUUUCCCACUAGUGUUAUGCUGCAGGUAGUGGUGGUUCAUAAUGCACAAGUUGAUGAAGUCAGUCCAUUCUCUGGCAGUUCCAAAAAGUGCCAGCAGACUAUUAGCAACUCCAGUAAAAGUGAACUGUAUUUUCUAUGCCAAUCCCAAAUCUAUAUGAAGUCAUUGUUAAUGGCAAUUAACUACAUUAUAGAAUGGCUUUAAAUCGUAAGAAAAAAUGUA